CUACGGAGGGUGCAAGCGUUACUCGGAAUCACUGGGCGUAAAGCGCGCGCAGGCGGUCUUUUAAGUUGGAUGUGAAAGCCUACGGCUCAACCGUAGAACUGCAUCCAAAACUAUUAGACUAGAGUGUGGGAGAGGAAGAUGGAAUUAGUUGUGUAGGGGUAAAAUCCGUAGAGAUAACUAGGAAUACCAAAAGCGAAGGCAAUCUUCUGGAACACUACUGACGCUGAGGCGCGAAGGCGUGGGGAGCAAACAGGAUUAGAUACCCUAGUAGUCC
rnacentral:rRNA from 1 species